rnacentral:rRNA from 1 species
GAACCGUCCAAACGUUAUUCGGAAUCACUGGGCUUAAAGGGUGCGUAGGCGGCCUGGCAAGUUGGGUGUGAAAUCCCUCGGCUCAACCGAGGAACUGCGCUCAAAACUGCCUGGCUAGAGGGAGAUAGAGGUGAGCGGAACUUAAGGUGGAGCGGUGAAAUGCGUUGAUAUCUUAAGGAACACCGGUGGCGAAGGCGGCUCACUGGAUCUCUUCUGACGCUGAGGCACGAAAGCCAGGGUAGCGAACGGGGGAUUAGAUACCCCGGUAGUCCUGGCUGUAAACGAUGAGCACUUGGUUGGAGGCUCCUCCAUAGGCUUCCGGCCGAAGCGAAAGUGUUAAGUGCUCCGCCUGGGGAGUAUGGUCGCAAGGCUG